GCCCAGGGAGCGCAAGUUGAUUUCCUAGUUUACCGAUGUGCGUCUGUGGAGGGAAAAGUCUGCUUUGCGCAUGUGCAAAAUAGGAACGCUACAUGCGUCAUUGUACGAAGUCAUUUGCGCUGGGUGCAAGAUAGGGCCCUAUAUCUCAGUUGUUCAGCAUCUCCAUUGGCGCACAGAGAGAAGUCUAGGUACACUAUCAAAUGAAAUUCUAGUGCAAUUUGUUCUUUUAUAAUAAGAGGUUAAGAGGCGACAGUUUGACGGCUCACUCGCCCUUUCUCUUAUUUUUUCUCGCUUUCGCUUUGCUCUCUGCCGCAUUCAUUGCUCAAGGUCAGUGCCGGAGGCAGGCGUGAGGUUACGGCGGUGACGGCAAGGUCAGAAUCUCCACUGUCGUUUGACACGCGUUCUGUCAUGGAGAUGAAGAGGUGAAGAUGGGGUGAGAGGAAUGUGCCUGUUGCAUGUAACCUGACGUGUCUAAUGGGUAUGAAGAAUACACAGGAUUUUCUACCUACUACCGCAUGUGCAGCAACUGUGGUCUAAAAUACCGCUAUCAAGAGUGGACUGAUGGUCUUCGCAAUUUUGAUGACCAUUUGCUGAUGUCAUCACACGUGUCUUGUCCUGCGCCAUUCACUCCAGACUCAUCAUGCCAUUAGCAGAGCUGUUGAGGUUUUGGAGACGACAACACAACAGAAAUUUCCACGUAAAGAAAAAAUCCUUCAUGCAUUUCGAAGCACUAACAGACCAUGACUACGCAUACUCCUGUGAUGGAUCUUCACAAAAAGGCGGCAUUUAAUAUGCCUGACUGACAUGCCUUUAAUCCGAGAGUGUUGGCUGAACCUUGCAUUAAAGUGCAGGAGCCAUGGAAGGGAAGCCUCAAGAAGUAUCAAGUGGAUUACAUGCAUGGUUGUCCCAAGGACCAUUGGAUUCUUAUGGUGUAAUGUCUGACAAGUCACUAGGAAUUUGUACAUUGUAGAAAUUUUGCCUCACAGAAUACCAGUGAUUGUAUUGUGGAUUUUAUACAAAAUAAUGAGCUAACUUGUGUGAGCCUUCUAAUGUUCUAGUUACGUGCUGAUGUUUAUUUCAUUGAGUUAAAGAGAGUUAAUGUCGUGGUCAGGAGACCAUGUGCGAACGCUAUUGUGUAGUAGCCUUGCCUGGCCAGAGGAUGUCGCCAUCAUUUCUUCUGUAAACCCCUUUUAAAACAGUUAUAUGCAAACUGGAUAGUGAGAUGGGUAAAACUCUUUAUAAAGAAUCAUUUUUAUGUAAUUGUAGAUCGUUUAAAGGGGCAUAACAAUGUUUAUUGAGAUGUAUGUUUGAUGAUCCUGGAUUUAUUAUUCAUGUUUAUUUUGUUUUAUCAGACUGUAAUGACAAUACUGGAUAUUGGAAUGAGUACCACUGGAAUUGAAUACAGUUAAAGAAGGAAAUUACAUCUCCUCGUCUUUAUUCCUGUGUCCGGACCGAUACACCAUCCUGUUAACUGGCUGAACCCUUUAUGUACUAGCCCUAUUUGAUUACCCCACUAACAGUAAAUGAUGUCAGAUUCCAUUGUGAAGUCAUUUAUAAGUAUAAAAUUAGUGCUGCUAUAAUUUAGUCACUUACAGUUGCAUAAUCAGUUGUGGAAAAAGCAAACAUAUUUUCUGCUUGAAUUAAAACUUGAUUUAAUAUCACUGAAAAUUGGUAUUUCAAAAAAAGUAUUUGAAAUCAAAGUGCAUGUGGAUUACUGAGAGCCUAUCAAAGAAUACACUUCUUUUUAAGAGAUAUUCUUGCAUGUAACAAUGAACCACAUGCUUUUCAGGGAAGAUUAAAU